rnacentral:rRNA from 1 species
AGGUAAUCUGCCUUAGAGAUUGGGAUAACUCGGCGAAAGCCGGACUAAUACCAAAUAAUGCAAUAACUUCCUAGGAAGAUGUUGUUAAAGCGGGCUUCGGCUCGCACUUUGAGAUGAACCUGCGUCCGAUUAGCUUGUUGGUAAGGUAAUGGCUUACCAAGGCGAUGAUCGGUAGCUGGUCUGAGAGGACGAUCAGCCACACUGGAAUUGAGAUACGGUCCAG